rnacentral:rRNA from 1 species
AGAGUUUGAUCCUGGCUCAGAACGAACGCUGGCGGCAUGCCUAACACAUGCAAGUCGAACGAACCCUUCGGGGUUAGUGGCGCACGGGUGCGUAACGCGUGGGAAUCUGCCCUUAGGUACGGAAUAACAGUGAGAAAUUACUGCUAAUACCGUAUGAUGUCUUCGGACCAAAGAUUUAUCGCCUAGGGAUGAGCCCGCGUAGGAUUAGCUAGUUGGUGAGGUAAAGGCUCACCAAGGCUACGAUCCUUAGCUGGUCUGAGAGGAUGAUCAGCCACACUGGGACUGAGACACGGGCCAGACUCCUACGGGAGGCAGCAGUGGGGAAUAUUGGACAAUGGGCGAAAGCCUGAUCCAGCAAUGCCGAGUGAGUGAAGAAGGCCUUAGGAUUGUAAAGCUCUUUUACCCGGGAAGAUAAUGACCGUACCGGGAGAAUAAGCCCCGGCUAACUCCGAGCCAGCAGCCGUGGUAAUACGGAGGGGGCUAG